rnacentral:rRNA from 1 species
AAUGAACGCUGGCGGCGUGGAUAAGACAUGCAAGUCGAACGGGGCAGUAGCAAUACUGUUCAGUGGCGAACGGGUGCGUAACACGUGGAUACCUACCGGAAAGUGGGGGAUAGCCCAGGGAAACUUGGAUUAAUACCGCAUAGUACGGAAGCAUUAAAGGCAGGGACCGUACGGCCUGCCGCUUUUUGAUGGGUCCGCGGCCUAUCCGCUAGUUGGGGAGGUAAAGGCCCACCAAGGCGACGACGGGUAGCGGGUCUGAGAGGAUGAUCACCCACACUGGAACUGAGACACGGUCCAGGAACCUACGGGUGGCAGCAGUCGCGGAUCUUUCACAAUGGGGGCAACCCUGAUGGAGCGACGCCGCGUGGAGGAUAAGGUCUUCGGAUUGUAAACUCCUGUCAUGCGAGAGCAACGCUAAUGGGCUAAUAGUCUGUUGGUUUGAUAGUAUCGCAAGAGGAAGAGACGGCUAACUCUGUGCCAGCCGCCGCCGUAACAC